AUGAAAAUUGUAAGUUGGAACUGGUGGGGGCUCGGGAAUGGCCCGACAGUUCGUUCUCUUCUCGAUCUGGGAAGAGUGGAGGAACCCGAUAUUCUGUUUUUGUGUGAAACUAGGAUGGAGGAGAAGGAGUUGGACCGGUUUAGGUGGCUGUUAGGGCUCACCCACAUGUGCUCAUGGAAGGGAGAGGGGAGGAGUCGAGGUGUGGCAUAGUUCUGGAGGAAGGAAGUGGAUGUGACUCUGAGAUCGUCUGGGAGGAGGCAUAUAGAUGUUGAUGUAAGGAGGGAUUAUGGUUUGGUGUGGAGGCUCACGGGUGUGUACGGAGAAUCGGAAAUGGAUAGGAAAAAGGAGACCUGCAGAAUGAUGCGCAUUCUGAAACAACAACAUCAGGGUGGAAGGCCUUGGCUAUGUCUCGGCGACUUUAAUGAGAUUUUGAUGACCAUGGAGAAAGCAGGAGGGGCAGCCCGGCCCCAACAUUACCUGGAUGGCUUCCGGGAGGCCUUGCAGACCUGCGAGCUUGGUGACAUUGGAUUUGAGGGGGACAUUUUCACGUGGAGGAAUCAUAGCAAGGAGCUGCGCACAUAUAUUUGUGAGAGAUUGGACAGGGCCACAUCGAAUGCAGAAUGGUGCGAGCAGUUCCUGGAGUACACAGUGAUUAAUGGCCUGCCCAUACACUCUGACCAUCAGCCUAUUAUUUUGAAUACAGAAGCUCUUGAUAGGGAGUGGUAGAAAGGGGAUGGGAGUUUUUGGUUUGAGGCUCACUGGUUAUAAGAGGAAGGGUGUGAAGUUAUAGUACGUGGAGCCUGGGAGAAGAGCUGGGAGACGGGGGAUGGAAAGGUGGCCAAAGCACUACAAAAAGUGGCGGGAGAUAUGAGCAUAUGGAGCAGGGAGGUAGUAGGGGAGUUGGGGGGAAGACUAAAAAGGAAAAAAAAAGAGCUGGAAGCGUGCAUGAGGGAGAUAGUGUCGGAGCAUAAAAUCAAAGAAGAGGCUCGGCUGCGGUGUCUGAUUGAGGAGCUUGAGGAGAAGAAGCAUGCGCAAAUGAAGCAACGGGCCCAUAUGUGGUGGCUUAGGGAUGACAAUAUGAACAUUAAAUAUCUGGAGUCGGAAGCCUCGGCUAGGAAGAAAACUAACCGAAUAAAGGAGUUGUGGAAGGAGGAUGGAACGGUGGUAGAGGAAGGUGAGGAGUUAACUAACUAUGUGUGUUCGUUUUUUCAGGACCUUUUCUUAGCAUCCUCUAAUCCUCAUCGAUUGCCGGAACUCCUUGAAAAGGUGCAGGCGCGGGUAACUGAGGCCAUGAACAACAUCUUGCUUGCUGAAUUCACUCGUGAGGAAGUAAAGGCGGCCCUUGACCAUAUCGGCGAUCUAAAGGCCCCGGGACCGGAUGGCAUGCCGGCGAUUAUGUUUAAAAGGCAUUGGCAUUUCAUGGGGGACCAAGUAAUGGAUGAGGUGCUGCGAGUGCUAAAUGGAGGAGACAUGCCUGAAGGAUGGAACGACACGCAUGUGAUCCUAAUUCCCGAGGUAAAGAAUCCACAGAGGAUAAAGGAUCUACGGCCGAUCAACCUAUGCAAUGUUCUGUAUAAGUUAGUCUGCGAAGUGAUAGCCAACAGACUGAAGAUGAUUCUCCCAUCGCUGAUUUCUGACAACCAGAGUGUGUUUGUCCCGAGAAGAUUAACAACGGAUAAUGUACUUAUCGCUUAUGAGCUUUCUCGCUAUGUCAUGAACAAGAAGAGUUGGAAGGAUGGGUACAUGGCGGUGAAGGCCGACAUGAGCAAGGCAUAUGAUCGAGUAGAGUGGUGCUUCCUUGAGGCGAUGAUGUGCAAGAUGGGCUUCAGGAGAGAGUGGGUGGACUUAAUCAUGAAAUGCGUCAGAACGGUUUGA
rnacentral:rRNA from 1 species